rnacentral:rRNA from 1 species
GAUGAACGCUGGCGGCGUGCCUAAUACAUGCAAGUCGAGCGAACAGACGCGGCUCUUGCUCCUCUCACGUUAGCCGCAGGCGGGUGAGUAACACGUGUAUCACCUACCUAUAUGACUGGUAUAUCUUCGGGACUCCGGAUCUUAUCCCGGAUAAUAUCUUGAACCGCAUUGUUCAUUAGUGAAAGUCGGCUUUUGUGUCACUUCUCGCUGGAUCCGCGCCGCAUUGGCUGGUUGGUAAGGUAACGGCUUAUCAAGGCAACGAUGCGUAGCCGACGUGAGAGGGUGAUCGGCCACACUGGAACUGAGACACGGUCAAGACGCCUACGGGAGGCAGCAGUAGGGAAUCUUCCGCAAUGGGCGAAAGCCUGACGGAGCAACGCCGCGUGAGUGAUGAAGGUCUUCGGAUCGUAAAACUCUGUUAUUAGGGAAGAACAAAUGUGUAAGUAACUAUGCACGUCUUGACGGUACCUAAUCAGAAAGCCACGGCUAACUACGUG